CUCCGGUACACCCAAGAGAGACCGACACUCCAACACAGUUUCUUCCCCCAAAUCCCACUGCGAAUUUCUCUCACAAAUCAGGCGACGGCGAGUCUUUCUCCCACAAAUCCGGCGAGGGCGACGACGAUUGUGGGCUUCUGCUGUGGCGUGGCGACUGCUAUCGUCGAGCAUUCCUCAUCCCGUCCCCUCGAGCGCUCCAAAAUCCGGUAAAUGCAAUGACGAUUUGGUGGAUUCCGCGAUGCCAUCGACGACGGCGUCGGCGCUCGAACAACCUGGUGGUGCUGGAGCCGGUGGUGGGGUUCCACCGGCCGUUGCGGCACCCGGCCGUGCUCUCCUAGCACAUGACCAUGGCGCAGGUCGCCGACACCGUCGCGCUCCACCCCUGGCUCCUCGACCUCCUCCCGCUCCUCAUCGUCCUCCUAAUCUCCACCCACGUCCUCGUCCUCGUACAUACUUCUCCUAGCCGAGAGAGCUCAAGGCCCCCGAGCGGCAGCUCAGUGUUGGUCCCGUGCCCGUCCGGAGCCCCGUCAGUGCAGGGCCAAGCUUUGAGAGAGUUACUACAUCUAGAGAGGAAUCAGGGAAAACUAAGUGAAUACAAAACUAGGAUGGUUAGACUAAAGCCAAAGGUACCUAAACUUAUGUUUGGCAACAUUGAUAAGGGUUAACAAGUAAUGAAACAAUCAAUACCGCGCUGCAACUAACGAGAAAAACUGAAAACCGGAAGAGAGUAGUACAACAUGGAAGAAGAGAGAUUUGAGAGAAGAUUAUGUAGAAGAUGUAGAGCAUCCUUGCUCAAAAAAGUGCAAAAAUGUUAGAAAAGGAGAUAGCUUACUCAAUUGUAAACAUCCGAACUAAAAUUCAUUUUAGGGACUCAAAGAAAGAGAAAAAGGAAGAUGCAGCUUAGUGUAUGAAGUCCAAUUUGAGGGGUUGUUUGUGGUUUUUUUUUUUUCAAGAAUUCAUCACAGAUCUAUGAAUUUGUGGGGAAUAUAAGCUUACAUGUGAAGUUUGUGAUUUGGGUAUGCUUUUUUUGAUGGACCUCAAAUUUGAAUUUGGGUAUGAAACCCUAGACCUUCUCUACUUGUUCCUAAUCUCUUC